CCUACGGGCGGCAGCAGUGGGGAAUAUUGCACAAUGGGGGAAACCCUGAUGCAGCGACGCCGCGUGAGUGAAGAAGUAUUUCGGUAUGUAAAGCUCUAUCAGCAGGGAAGAAAAUGACGGUACCUGAUUAAGAAGCCCCGGUUAAUUACGUGCCAGCAGCCGCGGUAAUACGUAGGGGGCAAGCGUUAUCCGGAUUUACUGGGUGUAAAGGGAGCGUAGACGGCAGCACAAGACUGGAGUGAAAUGCCGGGGCUUAACCCCGGAACUGCUUUCGAAACUGUGCAGAUGGAGUGCAGGAGAGGUAAGGGGAAUUGCUAGUGUAGCGGUGAAAUGCGUAGAUAUGAGGAGGAACAGCAG
rnacentral:rRNA from 1 species